rnacentral:lncRNA from 1 species
UUGUCAGUGGGCCGCAGUUUACUGCCCUCCCAGAACCACUGGCCAGGCACUUCGUCGUGGGAGACCUCACAGGAGAAGGUGGCACCGUCCUUCUCCAUCACUUCCACAUCCUCCAGGGGCCUCACGAUCUGGAUGUUGCGGCCUAGGGUGGCAAGGGAGGCCCUGCCACACCCGGACACACAGAGCUGCUCCCAGCACCCCCCACCCAGUGCCCCAGCAUGCCAAGGGUUGUGCAGGUGAAAGUAGAGCUGCCAAGCCCCUGGCUGGGGGACACGGAGGACAGGAGGAGGUGCCCAUACCUGCCAUGCCCCACAUGCCCCACGCAGCCCUCACCUUGUACCUUCACGGAGGCAGAGCUCUGGGCAUCAUGGGCAUCACACACAUACACUCCCUGAUCCGCGAACUCGCACCGGUAAAUGGUGAGGCUCCUGCAGGCGCCCUG